AUAAGACAAUCGAAUGGUCAUGGCCAGCUGAGAAAUUUGAACCUGAAAGUCAAGCAAAUGAUGUUGUCCACUCUAAUUCUUCUCUUGUAGUUGCGGCUCCUGAUUGUAUUUAUUCAGAAGUUGAGGCACCUAACGUAUCAAACGCCGUUGUCGUUGAUAGAAAGGUUGGCAAUAGUGAUGUUUCCCUUGCUGUUGUUGCUGCUACUUGUGCUGCAGAGGAAGAUGAAGAAGACGACGAUGAUGAUGAUGAAAUUAAAGAAAUUGGGUCUGACGAGAUUGUUUGAAUGACAAUGUAUGAUGUGCAGAGGAGUCAGAGAUCAAAGGUAUACUGGAAGGAUUGGAUUACAAAUUGCUCAAGAACAAGGAUGGGAAGAUAUUAGUCUGGACUGACUAUGAGGAGGUGGCAGAAUGAAUGAGGGAUGGAGGGAAAUCUUCUUGGCAUUGGGAUUUAUUUGUGUUAUUGUAUGACGUUUAUAUAUUAUCUCUGUUUUUUUUUUUUCUUUAGGGGUAGAAAUAACUUAUCUCUGUACUUAAGUCUUUUAGUUUGCUGAGGAACAUGGUUCCAUGUGGUUUGAGGAACCUGGUUGGUUUUCACAGUUUGCAG